rnacentral:rRNA from 1 species
UCGGGAAUAUUGCGCAAUGGAGGAAACUCUGACGCAGUGACGCCGCGUGCAGGAAGAAGGUUUUCGGAUUGUAAACUGCUUUAGACAGGGAAGAAAAAAGACAGUACCUGUAGAAUAAGCUCCGGCUAACUACGUGCCAGCAGCCGCGGUAAUACGUAGGGAGCAAGCGUUAUCCGGAUUUAUUGGGUGUAAAGGGUGCGUAGACGGAGAAGCAAGUUAGUUGUGAAAUCCCUCGGCUUAACUGAGGAACUGCAACUAAAACUACUUCCCUUGAGUGCUGGAGAGGAAAGUGGAAUUCCUAGUGUAGCGGUGAAAUGCGUAGAUAUUAGGAGGAACACCAGUGGCGAAGGCGACUUUCUGGACAGUAACUGACGUUGAGGCACGAAAGUGUGGGGAGCAAACAGGAUAGAUACCC